rnacentral:rRNA from 1 species
AUUACCCAAUCCUGACACAGGGAGGUAGUGACAAGAAAUAACAAUACAGGGCUAUUGUCUUGUAAUUGGAAUGAUGGUGACUUAAACCCUCACCAGAGUACCAAUUGGAGGGCAAGUCUGGUGCCAGCAGCCGCGGUAAUUCCAGCUCCAAUAGCGUAUAUUAAACUUGUUGCAGUUAAAAAGCUCGUAGUUGAAUUUCAGCGUUGUUUUCGUGUUCCCUUUUUGCGGGUUUCGUCUACUUCGCUUUGUUUUUAUUACUUUGAGAAAAUUAGAGUGUUUCAAGCAGGCUUUUGUCUUGAAUACUUGAGCAUGGAAUAAUAGAGUAGGACCUUGGUUCUUCUUUGUUGGUUUUUGUUACCUUGGUAAUGGUUAAUAGGAACGGUUGGGGGCAUUCGUAUUUAA